GACGAACGCUGGCGGCGUGCUUAACACAUGCAAGUCGAACGAUGAAACCUUCGGGUGGAUUAGUGGCGAACGGGUGAGUAACACGUGGGUGAUCUGCCCUGCACUUUGGGAUAAGCCUGGGAAACUGGGUCUAAUACCGAAUAUGAUCAUGCUCUUCAUGGGGUGUGGUGGAAAGCUCUUGCGGUGUGGGAUGGGCCCGCGGCCUAUCAGCUUGUUGGUGGGGUAAUGGCCUACCAAGGCGACGACGGGUAGCCGGCCUGGGAGGGUGACCGGCCACACUGGGACUGAGAUACUGCCCAGACUCCUACGGGAGGCAGCAGUGGGGAAUAUUGCACAAUGGGCGCAAGCCUGAUGCAGCGACGCCGCGUGAGGGAUGACGGCCUUCGGGUUGUAAACCUCUUUCAGCAGGGACGAAGCGCAAGUGACGGUACCUGCAGAAGAAGGACCGGCCAACUACGUGCCAGCCGCCGCGGUAA
rnacentral:rRNA from 1 species